rnacentral:tRNA from 1 species
GCCCGAUUAGCUCAGCUGGUUAGAGCGCCUCGUUUACACCGAGGAGGUUUUCGUUGGUUCAAAUCCAACAUCGGGUACCA